GACGAACGCUGGCGGCGUGCUUAACACAUGCAAGUCGAACGGAAAGGCCCUGCUUUUGUGGGUUGCUCGAGUGGCGAACGGGUGAGUAACACGUGAGUAACCUGCCCUUGACUUUGGGAUAACUUCAGGAAACUGGGGCUAAUACCGGAUAGGAGCUCCUGCUGCAUGGUGGGGGUUGGAAAGUUUCGGCGGUUGGGGAUGGACUCGCGGCUUAUCAGCUUGUUGGUGGGGUAGUGGCUUACCAAGGCUUUGACGGGUAGCCGGCCUGAGAGGGUGACCGGCCACAUUGGGACUGAGAUACGGCCCAGACUCCUACGGGAGGCAGCAGUGGGGAAUAUUGCAGAAUGGGCGGAAGCCUGAUGCAGCAACGCCGCGUGCGGGAUGACGGCCUUCGGGUUGUAAACCGCUUUCGACUGUGACGAAGCGUGAGUGACGGUAAUGGGUAAAGAAGCACCGGCUAACUACGUG
rnacentral:rRNA from 1 species